rnacentral:pre_miRNA from 1 species
GAGCUUAUUCAUAAAAGUGCAGUACGAGCCGGUGAGCCUGUCGUUUUAUGUAUAAGCUCGU